rnacentral:lncRNA from 1 species
GAAUGAGGCAAGACCCUUCGAGGUGAUUGGCUCACCUGACCUUCACCUCCUCGUGCACGACCCUGACAGUAGGGUCCCCAAGGGCUUUGGAACUGGGGGAUUGGGACACGUGACUUCCCUGGCCAUUCACCUUGAAGUGGACACGGGCUGGGACGGAGUCUUGCUCUGUCGCCCAGGCUGCAGUGCAGUGGCGCGAUCUCGGCUCACUGCAAACUCCACCUCCCAGGUUCACGCCAUUCUCUUGCCUCAGCCUCCCAAGUAGCUGGAACUACAGAGAAGGGGUUUCAGCAUGUUGCCAAAGCUGAUCUCAAAAUCCUGGGCUUCUGUCGGGAAUUGGUGGGUUCUUGGUCUCACUGACUUCAAGGAAGCCAUAGACCCUCAUAGUGAGCGUUACAGCUCUUAAGGUGGUGCACCUGGAGUUUCUUCCUCUUGGGGGGCUUGUGGUCUCGCUGGCUUCAGGAGUGAAGCUGCAAACCUUCACCAUUAGUGUUACAACUCUU